UUUGCCAAAGGUCAGAGUGUUCCAGAGAGCGGAUUAAACCAGCUCCCCAGCAAACUGGAACAGAGGGGCUCAAAUCUGGAGCUCCGCUACAACUCCAGCUCCGGAUUUUGUAAUCCUUUAUAGUGGAAUUGAUGGUUAAUGUCCACUUUGUCAUCACACCUGACUCAGACGUAAAGAGAUCAGAAAAUCUGCAUGACCAGGACCUUUGGGACUGGGACUGGAAUUCCUCUGAACCCGAGUAACCUUUCCACUGCAGUCCAGGGAGAAGGCUCUGUGGUCAGACUUCCUGUCAGGAGUUCACGACCUCAGCGAAUGCUCUGACUCCUGAGCACACAUUAGUCAGAGUCCACAGGGUGCAGUAUCUUAUUGGACAAUCCCAACAGAGCAUCAGAAAACUUGUUAUUAAGGUGUUCAACAGAGAGAGCUCUGUGCUGUCGUCGUGGGAGUGACGCGCUGUCUUCUGGUUGGUCAGUAGCUCGGCCCCGCACACCCGCAGGGGUCAUGUAACAGCUGGCAGUCCAGGCUGUGCAGGCUCUCUUCACCAACUACAACGUCAAUAAACUCUCUUCCUGUGAGACUCCUAAAGCUGGAAUGGCUGUCAGGUAUGACCAUGGAAUUAGAGCCUAAAGUUGCCCAGCGCUGCUCUGGUCUGCCAGGUGCAUUAAUGUGUUUCCAAUUCCAAUUUCAUUCACUUCAUCAAGUGUAUUAUUCAAACACAAAGGCUGUACAAUCACGAAACUGUCAUCCAGAUGGAACAAGAAUAAUUAGACAGACAUGAAUCAAUUAAAACAAAUAAAUAAAUAAAUCUAAAAACAAAUCUGUUAAGAAUGUGUGCGCACGCACGCACACACACGCACACACACAUAAAAAUGUAAACAAGUUAAAUGAACAAUGUAAGUAUGCAGUGUUGCUCUUGUAUAGAGCUUUACAGUGCUCAAGAAAGCAUUUAUCCAGAGAAAGAAUGGGGGGAGGAAAGAGAGAGAGAGAUAGAGAGAAUGAGAGAGAGCAAGAGAGAGAAAGAGAGAAGAACUCUUCCUUGAAAAAAAUAAAAACCCUCUUGCUCGAGUGUUUUACGGUCUAUUCAGUGUUAUUAGCUGCACUGCCACUCAAGCCUGUAGUGAGAUCCUUCACGGUCUGUCUGCAUAAGCUACUCUCACUGCAUUGCUCAUCUUGUAAGAACUAAGCCUUAAUUAGGAAUUCUGCAAAUAGCUGCAGUUAAGAAGCUACAACCCUUGUACUUAUCUGGAUCUAAUCUCUCAUAAUCGUGUUUAUUCUGACCAAAUCUCUGAGCACUGGGCUCUUUGUGCUUGUAUUUUGCUGGACAAAUCAUGCUGAGGUUCGUGACAAUAGUUUCACUGGAAAGGUGACGUUUGCCAAACUCAUGAAAAUCCCCAGUCAACUGCUAACAUCAGGCCGGAAUCUCAUCUUAAAACUCAUCCUCACCCGCACCAUCAUAACCUCACACUAUUCCUCACGACGGGCCGCGCAAAAAAGAGAAAUAUGUACACAUGCAAAGACCUUCCCUCGUUCACAAAACACAGAAAGUUGUUCAGGCUAACGUGUACAUCACAAGUCAAAUGGUGCUGCAGUAGGUCUGGACUUUAAACAUCACAGAGAUGCAGCUUCUCUCUCAGCUCAGCAUGGGAGCCGAGUCGCUUCAUAUCAGUGAUUCCUCAUUCUGUGAACUUUAAUGUGGACUACAUUGUCUUUCACGGGCUGUGGAGCCUACAGACAGAGGUACUGACAGGCUGUGCCUACUGACUCAACUGCAUUAAUAAAAUCCAUGUUUGAACCCUA